rnacentral:rRNA from 1 species
UACGGAGGGUGCAAGCGUUAUCCGGAUUCACUGGGUUUAAAGGGUGCGUAGGCGGACAGGUAAGUCAGUGGUGAAAUCUCCGAGCUUAACUCGGAAACUGCCUUUGAUACUCUCUGUCUUGAAUAUGGUGGAGGUAAGCGGAAUAUGUCAUGUAGCGGUGAAAUGCUUAGAGAUGACAUAGAACACCUAUUGCGAAGGCAGCUUACUACGCCUAUAUUGACGCUGAGGCACGAAAGCGUGGGGGAUCAAACAGG